rnacentral:lncRNA from 1 species
AGAAAUUUUUACAUGGCACGGUAAAGAUAUAAAAAUAUAAAUCACAUCUCUUCUGCCAAUUCACAACACUUCUUCCUUUUUAUAUUUCUCAAACAAUCUUACAGUACCCAUACUUAUAUAAUAAAUAUGCAGAAAACUCCAUUCAUCUUAUCUUCACUAAACCCAUCUAUAUUUCAACAAUCAAUCCCAUCAUAACAGCUUACAACCAAUACAUUUUUAC